rnacentral:rRNA from 1 species
AGUGGACGCUGGCGGUAGGCCUAACACAUGCAAGUCGAACGGCAGCACAGUAAGAGCUUGCUCUUACGGGUGGCGAGUGGCGGACGGGUGAGGAAUACAUCGGAAUCUACUUUUUCGUGGGGGAUAACGUAGGGAAACUUACGCUAAUACCGCAUACGACCUACGGGUGAAAGCAGGGGAUCUUCGGACCUUGCGCGAUUGAAUGAGCCGAUGUCGGAUUAGCUAGUUGGCGGGGUAAAGGCCCACCAAGGCGACGAUCCGUAGCUGGUCUGAGAGGAUGAUCAGCCACACUGGAACUGAGACACGGUCCAGACUCCUACGGGAGGCAGCAGUGGGGAAUAUUGGACAAUGGGCGCAAGCCUGAUCCAGCCAUACCGCGUGGGUGAAGAAGGCCUUCGGGUUGUAAAGCCCUUUUGCUGGGAAAGAAAAGCAGCAGGUUAAUACCCCGCUGUUCUGACGGUACCCAAAGAAUAAGCACCGGCUAACUUCGUG